GAUUUAUUCGUCAAAGGCUUAUAGCUGUUUCAAAUAAACGUUUGGGGAUGUUCAUGGAUCAAUCUUACUUGAUCGAUCAUCGAUCUAUUCAGAGACAGAAAUUCUAAGAAACCGCUGCCCUAAGUUAUAUUCUUCAGAGCCGAAAAAUGCAACUGCCGAAGGAUAAGAUAAAAGGAAGGAAUUUGGAAAAUAUGACAUAAUAGAACUAGGCCAUGUACUUUAAGACAUCAUCCGUAAACCAUACCAGGCUCGUAACGCGGGUAAAUAGUAUUGGCAUCCAAUGAAUAAACUUAAUACCAUACAAUAUCCUUAUGGUCAGUGGAAAAUUCUUGGCAAUUACUAUUGUGGUUCGAAAAAACAUUGACAAGGGAAGUAUUUUUGAAAUACAAAACGAAAGAAAAGACAGAAUAGACAUUUACAUUAUUUACAUUUGACGGAUAUUUGUCUCCAUCUUGUGUGUUGUUAACACGUUUGGGCUGAUAUACCCUCCAGCUUUCAUCAAGUGUCUUAGGGAAAUUUCGAGCCAGGGUUCUCCUUCCUAAGAAAUUCUUUUGGUUUUGAUGAGAAGGAAGAGAGGACAAUUUCGACCACCUGUGGGAUUUUGAACACUAAUUCAUUUAAAUGAUUCUGUAAACCUCGAAAAAAUGGUAAUCAGGAAGUGGCAAGAUCCGGAGAAUAAGAAUACUGCAAAUUUUGAUAGAAAUUACAUAUAUGAUAUUUCGGAUAUUAUUUGUGGGAUGACUGAUGUGACCACCUGUGAAAUAACUUCAUAUCAGCAGAUUUACAUACGAUAUCAAAUGAAAUUUUAAGUUCAAAGUGCGGUGAGCGAUAUUCAUCUGACACCGAUUUUUUAUCCACGCGGAUUUAAAUAAAAUCAAUUUUGCACGAAAGUCUGGAAGUUGAUAUUUUCGGCCGCGCAUGGGAAUUGUUUACCGUUCAAUGCAAUGACCAACUAAUGUGGCAACAUCAUGUUUCUAUAGAAUUAUUCAGAAAUAAUGUUCUAUAGAAUUAUUCAAUAUACAGUAAUAUAAAUAGAGACUAUGUCGGCCUAAACAGUAUUAUAAACAACGGAAGAUUUUACCCAAGAUCAUCAAAAGAAGCACCAGAAUUUAAUAAUUCAUAAUAAUGAAGAGAUACCAUAAAGAGUUGUCUGAUGAUGGGUUGUGCUUGAACCUUUUGAACACCUAUUGAAGGGCUCCAAACAACCAUAACGCUGAAACUUUCGUAGGAACUGUAAUGUAAACAUGUAUUUAUCCUUUUUGCAAACUGUCGGUCUGUGCGUCUGCCUUUCU